rnacentral:rRNA from 1 species
CGGCGGACGGGUGAGUAACGCGUGGGUAACCUGCCUCAUACAGGGGGAUAACAGUUAGAAAUGACUGCUAAUACCGCAUAAGCGCACAGUACCACAUGGUACGGUGUGAAAAACUCCGGUGGUAUGAGAUGGACCCGCGUCUGAUUAGCUGGUUGGCGGGGUAACGGCCCACCAAGGCGACGAUCAGUAGCCGACCUGAGAGGGUGAUCGGCCACAUUGGGACUGAGACACGGCCCAA